rfam:Human coxsackievirus A21 (strain Coe) genomic RNA, complete genome.
AAUAAACAAUUAUAUACAGUUCAAGAGCAAACACCGUAUUGAGCCAGUAUGUAUGCUCGUU